CUUGUCUGUGAGGAUAUAUAUUUAUAUAGAUAUCUAUAUCUAUCAUAGACUUCAAUCAAGAAUGGAUGGAAGAGGAUAUUGGACUAAGUCACAGAAUUUCAGGAAAAGAAGUCUGCUAACUCCUUGAACCCAGAGAAUGAAAUCUUCAAAGGAAAAUACUUGCAGAAACCUACACUGCAUCAAGAAGAUCCAGAAUGAACUUUUGGGUGCAAUCGAUUGAACAAAUGGGGAUUGAACAUUUAUUGUAAAUGUACACUUUUAUGCCAAAGGGGACUGCCCCCUAAUUUUGGCUUUUUGACAACGUGCCUAGCAAAACAUUGAUUUUGCUUUUUCUCUUUUCUAUUUCUAACUAUUGUAAUUUCCUCUUAAAAGGUGAAAUAUUGUAUACAUGUGUAGUUAGAAGUGCUUUAGGACUACAAGAUGAUUAUGUUAAAUGAUCAAUGGGGAGACUAGUCUCCCAAUGAUCAUCAGGGGGGAUUGUGAAGCUUGGAUUUAGCUAUCUCCUGAUUGUAACAAUGAAGAUACUUAGCUCUUUUCUUUAUUGUGAAGAUAAAAUUUUAAUCUCCUGAUUGUAACAACAUCCUAGCUAAAUUACUGAGCAAAUUAUUUAACCUUCAGUGAACUAGGUAAGUCUUUAGGGCUACAAAUUAUAAGAUAGAUACUGAUCUCAAAUGGUGGCAGGGGUUUCCACAUCAGAAAUUUCCUUAAUUAAUAUAAUAGAUCUGAAUCAAAUAUAUUAUAGCAUCCCCUCCCCACAAAGUGGCUACUAUUUCCACUAGUUCUCCAAAGUACCCAUUCCUAUUAUAUAGAUAGUUAACAAGCCCCCACCAAUAAUUAGCCAAUAGACACAAUCAGCUUCUUGCAAUGGGCAUCAAGAUAACAGGGUUAUAAUAGUAAAUUUAAACAUUUCCCCCAUAAGCCUUGGGUACUGUGUCCUACAAAUAUAAACAGUACUCAUGGUGGGCACAAAAUAAAGUUUACAAUUGAGCUAGGUUCUGGAGACAGGAGGUCCUGGAUUCCAAUUGGAACUCAGACACUUCAUAGCUGUGUGAUCCAGGCAAGUAACUUAUCCCUAGUUGCCUUGCUCUUCCUGCUCUUCUGCCUUGGAACAGAUACUUGUAUCAAUUCUAAGACAGAAGGUUAAGGGGUUAAAAAAAAGUACAAUAAUAGUGAGGCAUAUGUGUGACCAAGGUAACCCACAAUGCCUGGUCCUUUCUCUGGUGGUGCUUCACCAAGCUGCCCAUUUACACUAUCUAGUUCACAUACCACAGAUCAAAUGAGAGAAUAGUCCUUUGUAAACUAUAAGAUGUUAUUAGACAAAUAUAAUAUCUUCCUACACUUAAGAGUUAAAGGCGCUAUAGAAAUAUUUACAGAAUGCUUAAAAAAUUACAAAGCACUUUCCUCAAAACAACUCUUUGAAGGAGAAAGUAUUAGUACCUACUAUAUUACUCACAUACUUACUGAUAUAGGCAUUUCCCCCAAUUAUGCAGAUUACAAUCUAUCCAUAUAUAACCAAAAGUUUGCCACAAGAGGUCCACCCAUUCCUGGGAGCUUUAUUUACUCAUAACAUUGUGAAGAUACAAGUAGAGCACAUGAAUGUAGCACAAUGUAGUAGGGUUAGGGUUAGAAUUCUCUCUCUUCCUGUUCUACCAACACAUCUUCUUUUUCAAUCACACAUUCCCUUAUGACAGUCUUUACUCUGGUUCUUCUUUGAAGUUCCUGGUUUGUUAUAUGUUGCAUCAGCUUGCACCCACCAAUUGCUAUGAUGUUCAUUUUAAAUUCUUAGGACAUUGUCAUAUUCUAUGGAGUUCAUGGUAUUUCAGGUACAGCUGAAAGCUGUACAGUAUCUAUAAAACAAUAGUAUUGAAAAGAUGGCCCUUUGUUUACUAGAGAAGUUUGGAGUAAUUAAAACAGCUCUUCAAUUUCCCAAAGGCAAUCCAGUGCGCUCUCUUCCUGUUAAUUACGUGUGCAAAUUAUUAUCCAUUUGUAUUGUCUAAGACACACAAACACACUUGGGAAUAUUAAAUACAAUACAACUUUGUUUGACUAGCAUACUAUAUACAUGGUGUCCCAUAAGUCUUAAUGCAGUUUUAAGCUUCAUUCUACAAAUGAGGAAAGAGGUAGUUGAGUCACUUGACUAGAGUAAGGUAGUUACAUAUCUGGGGUCAGGAUUUUAACUUGGCCCUUUCUAACUCUAUCCAGCCCUCUAUCCACUGUGUACCUAGACAAGCCUGAUGGCUGAUGGUUGUUCAUCCAACUGCAUUUUCCUACUCUGGACAACAGAUCUCCAAUCCUCUCUGUCUCUGUCUCUGUCUCUAUGAAAUAUUCCAGAUUGAUAUAAUUAGCACAAUGCCAUGGGCAACCACAGCAUUAACAGGGCUUCCCUCUAAAAAGUAUUAUCUUCAUUUUACAAAAGUGACAUUGAAACUUAGAAACCUGGCCAUAAGGUUGGUGUUAAAUUGAAUUGUACCUCUUGACUACAUCACUGCCCUGAUGCACAAUAAGCUGAUUAUACUGGGUCCCACAGAAUUGACUUGCUCAAAAUCACAUCUGUAGUUCAAUAAACUUGCUUUUUAAUGCC